rnacentral:pre_miRNA from 1 species
AGGAGCAACAGCCCCAGGGGCGGGGCCAGCUCUGCAGCCCUGGAGUCAGCUCCCGCAGUAACUCCGGAGCUCUCCGUCUGCAGGGCCUGGAGGCUCCGGGGCGGG